GGGCCCGCACAAGCGGUGGAGCAUGUGGUUUAAUUCGACGCAACGCGAAGAACCUUACCUACACUUGACAUCCUCGGAACUUUCUAGAGAUAGAUUGGUGCCUUCGGGAACCGAGUGACAGGUGCUGCAUGGCUGUCGUCAGCUCGUGUCGUGAGAUGUUGGGUUAAGUCCCGUAACGAGCGCAACCCUCGUCCUAUGUUGCCAGCACGUAAUGGUGGGAACUCAUGGGAUACUGCCGGGGUCAACUCGGAGGAAGGUGGGGAUGACGUCAAAUCAUCAUGCCCCUUAUGUCUUGGGCUUCACGCAUGCUACAAUGGCCGGUACAGAGGGCUGCAAUACCGCAAGGUGGAGCGAAUCCCAAAAAGCCGGUCUCAGUUCGGAUUGAGGUCUGCAACUCGACCUCAUG
rnacentral:rRNA from 1 species